UACGGAGGAUCCAAGCGUUAUCCGGAUUCACUGGGUUUACAGGGUGCGUAGGCGGGCAGAUAAGUCAGUGGUGAAAUCUCCGCGCUUAACUCGGAAACUGCCGUUGAUACUAUUUGUCUUGAAUACUGUGGAGGUAAGCGGAAUAUGUCAUGUAGCGGUGAAAAGCUUAGAUAUGACAUAGAACACCAAUUGCGAAGGCAGCUUACGACACAGCGAUUGACGCUGAGGCACGAAAGCGUGGGGAGCAAACAGG
rnacentral:rRNA from 1 species